rnacentral:rRNA from 1 species
UACGUAGGGCGCAAGCGUUGUUCGGAUUCAUUGGGCGUAAAGGGUGCGUAGGCGGCGCGGUAAGUCGGGUGUGAAAGUCACAGGCUCAACCUGUGAAUGCCGCUGGAAACUGUCUGGCUAGAGUCCGGAAGGGGCGAGUGGAAUUCCUGGUGUAGCGGUGAAAUGCGCAGAUAUCAGGAGGAACACCUAUGGCGAAGGCAGCUCGCUGGGACGGUACUGACGCUGAGGAGCGAAAGCGUGGGGAGCGAACAGG